CCUACGGGUGGCAGCAGUGAGGAAUAUUGGUCAAUGGGCGAAAGCCUGAACCAGCCAAGUCGCGUGAAGGAUGAAGGUUCUAUGCAUUGUAAACUUCUUUUAUAUGGGGAUAAAGUGAGGCACGUGAUCCUUUUUGGAUGUACCAUAUGAAUAAGCAUCGGCUAACUCCGUGCCAGCAGCCGCGGUAAUACGGAGGAUGCGAGCGUUGUCCGGAUUUAUUGGGUUUAAAGGGUGCGUAGGUGGUAAGUUAAGUCAGCGGUGAAAGUGUGUGGCUCAACCCUAGAAGUGCCGUUGAAACUGGUUGACUUGAGUAGACGUGAGGUAGGCGGAAUGCGUGGUGUAGCGGUGAAAUGCAGAGAUAUCACGCAGAACUCCGAUUGCGAAGGCAGCUUACCAACGGAUAACUGACACUGAAGCACGAAAGCGUGGGUAUCAAACAGGAUUAGAUACCCUGGUAGUC
rnacentral:rRNA from 1 species